rnacentral:rRNA from 1 species
AACGAACGCUGGCGGCAUGCCUAACACAUGCAAGUCGAACGAGAUCUUCGGGUCUAGUGGCGCACGGGUGCGUAACGCGUGGGAAUCUGCCCUUUGGUUCGGAAUAACAGUUGGAAACGACUGCUAAUACCGGAUGAUGACGAAAGCCCAAAGAUUUAUCGCCAGAGGAUGAGCCCGCGUAGGAUUAGCUAGUUGGUGUGGUAAAGGCGCACCAAGGCGACGAUCCUUAGCUGGUCUGAGAGGAUGAUCAGCCACACGGGGACUGAGACACGGCCCCGACUCCUACGGGAGGCAGCAGUGGGGAAUAUUGGACAAUGGGCGAAAGCCUGAUCCAGCAAUGCCGCGUGAGUGAUGAAGGCCUUAGGGUUGUAAAGCUCUUUUACCCGGGAUGAUAAUGACAGUACCGGGAGAAUAAGCUCCGGCUAACUCCGUGCCAGCCGCCGCCGUAA